UUUAGUCUUAACAGCACAACCUAGCCUGCCCUUAGACUAAAAGAUAUUCGACCGGGGUACAGCCCUGACGAAUAAGGAUACAACCUAGGCUAGCGGAUUAGAACCAUAACGCACUCUCAGUGGGCCUUAAAGCCGCCACCAACAAGUAAAGCGUCAUAGCACAAUACCAUAAAUACAAACAAUUUAAUCGAACCCCUAGUAAACAACUGAGCCACACUAUACAAAUAGCAGCACUAAUGCUAAAACUAGUAACAAGAAAACUUCUCUCAGCACCCCUGUGCCCCAGAAAUAGAACCUCUACUGGACACUAACAGACCAAAACAGGGAACACUAGAACUGUCAAACCAACACCGGUGUGCCAUAAAGAAGGUUAAAAACUAUAUAAGGAACUCAGCAACACCCUGUCCCAACUGUUUACCAAAAACACAGCCUUUAGCCAAACAAGUAUUAAAGGUGCUGCCUGCCCAGUGAGAUUUUUAAACGGCCGCGGUAUCCUAACCGUGCAAAGGUAGCGUAAUCACUUGUCUUUUAAAUAAAGACUUGUAUGAACGGCUAAAUGAGGACAGCCCUGUCUCUUACAGUCAACCAGUGAAACUGAUCUUUAAGUACAAAAGCUUAAAUAAACACAUAAGACGAGAAGACCCGUGGAGCUUAAAACAAGCACUAUUACACCCAAAAUAGCACGAGUUUUAGUUGGGGCGACUUCGGAGUAAAACUAAACCUCCGAGCACAGGGUCAACAACCCCCUCCUAGAUCGACAGGUCAAAGGAAACAUCGACCCAGUCAUACUGAACAACGAACUAAGUUACCCCAGGGAUAACAGCGCCAUCUUCUUCAAGAGUUCAUAUCGACAAGAAGGUUUACGACCUCGAUGUUGGAUCAGCACACCCCAAUGGUGCAACCGCUAUUAAAGGUUCGUUUGUU
rnacentral:rRNA from 1 species